AAUCAACGCUGGCGGCGUGCCUAACACAUGCAAGUCGAGCGCGAAAGGGGAGUAAUCCCCAAGUAGAGCGGCGAACGGGUGAGUAACGCGUGGGUGAUCUACCUCCGAGUGGGGAAUAACCCCGGGAAACUGGGGCUAAUACCGCAUGACAUCCCUGAGUCACAUCGGGGAUCAAAGCCGGGGACCGCAAGGCCUGGCGUUUGGAGAUGAGCCCGCGUCCGAUUAGCUAGUUGGCGGGGAACGGCCCACCAAGGCUUCGAUCGGUAGCCGGCCUGAGAGGGCGGACGGCCACACUGGGACUGAGACACGGCCCAGACUCCUACGGGAGGCAGCAGUGGGGAAUUUUUCGCAAUGGGGGAAACCCUGACGAAGCAACGCCGCGUGGAGGAUGAAGGCCUUCGGU
rnacentral:rRNA from 1 species